GCGCCUGACUGAAAAAUCUUAAAAGUGCAGGCCUACCUCUUGGUGUGUGCUUUACUACCAAGAUGACACUAAUGAGGCAUCACCUAAGGAAGGGAUUCCAUACCCUCAUAUGGCAGAAAGGCAGUGAAGGGCCUCCCUGCUGCAAGCCCCUUUACAAAGGCGUCUUCAGGAUGUAUUUCUCUGGUGCAAUCAUCUCCCACAGGCACACUGAAGAGUUAGUGCAGAAACUUUCUGCUCAGCUUACUGGAGUGUGGAGAGGUAUCCUUGCUUCUGGGAAGUGCAGAGAUUCACCCCACAGAGCCACCUCUGCGGAGUUUCUGUAGCGGCGACGCUGGAGGCAACCUAGAGGAGACUAUGACGACUCAGCGCUGUGCCCCAAGCUCUUGUGCUUGGGGGCCAGGAGCGCGAAGGUGCCACGCCAUGUGGCGUCCUGGCUGUGUUUCCUUGCACCAAGUUGAGGGGUUUCCAGGAGCCGUAACUUGACUGCAGACAAUCUGCUUUUUCCAGUUUUCAGCCACAAAUCGAAACCCAGCAUGGUGAAACCCUUUCAGCGGAAAUCUCUAACCCUUAACAGUGCAGAACAGUGUUGUAUGUGCUGACAUGGAGCUGAGGCAGUUUAGAAAGCCAGGGAAAAUUAGGGACCAUGGAAGAGAACAGAGACCUGUACCUGGAGUCUCCUGAGGGUCAAAAAUUGUGAUACAACAAAAUUAUCUGCGAACAUUGUCUUCACAGACGAUUUUUAUUAAAUAGGAAUAUUUCAAUAGCUGGGUUGGUGGGACAUCCAUAAUCCCAACACUGGAGGAGGCUAAAACUGGAGGAUUGUAAUGAGUUUGGGAUUAGCCUGAGCUUCAGAGUGUGGCCUUGUUUCAAUUCAAAAAGAAAAACUCAAGGUCUUAGCCUCAAACUUUAACAGUGGUUCUCAACUUUGUGUAUCAUGACCCCUUGGGAAGUGGGGGCGGUAGAACAAUCUUUGUUCACAAGAGUCCCCAAGGCCUCCUGUAACCUGUAACCCUUCGAGAAUCUUCGACGAUAACUAACUUUAUUUACCAGUCAAACCACGGCUUAACUUCAAUGUAACCGCUAUAAUAAAGAUGCCUUUGACACUUUGGA